GAAAUGCGAUAAGUAAUGUGAAUUGCAGAAUUCAGUGAAUCAUCGAAUCUUUGAACGCACAUUGCGCCCGCCAGUAUUCUGGCGGGCAUGCCUGUUCGAGCGUCAUUUCAACCAUCAAGCCCCCGGCUUGUGCUGGGGACCUGCGGCUGCCGCAGGCCCUGAAAUGCAGUGGCGGGCUCGCUGUCACACCGAGCGUAGUAGUAUUAUCUCGCUUUGGGCGUGCUGCGUGUCCCGGCCGUUAAACGACCUUACACCCAAGGUUGACCUCGGAUCAGGUAGGAAGACCCGCUGAACUUAA
rnacentral:misc_RNA from 1 species